rnacentral:rRNA from 1 species
AUGGAAUCCAGCGGGGAGGAGCUCCUGAAGAAGAUCCGGCAGCUGGAGGUGGGCCAGGCGCAGCUCAAGCAGGAGAUGUCCAAGUUCGCGCUGCCGCCGACCGGCGGCGGAGGGGAGCGCCGGCGCUCGCAGUCCGUCUCCCCCAGCCGCGGUGCGCCGCCUCAUCCUGCGCCGGCGCCGGCGCCCUCGAGGCGGCUCUCCGGGGGGCUUGAUGCAGGCCCGCGGGCGUGGGGCCGUGGCUCCGCGUCCUUCUCGCACUCGUCGCCGCUGCAGCGGGAAGGCCGUGCCGCGGCGGAGGGCGGCGCCACGGGCGCUGGGCUGGCGGAGCGGCAGUACCGCAGGGUGCUCCAGUCGCUGGGGCAGUCCGUCCACAUUCUUGACCUCGAUGGAAGGAUCAUAUACUGGAAUCGGUCUGCAGAGAAUCUCUAUGGUUAUCCUGCAUCAGAAGUACUUGGUCAGGAUGCACUCAUGCUGCUGGUUGAUUCCCGUGACCUCAGUGUGGUAAAUGAUAUGUUUCGACGUAUUUCUUUGGGUGAGAGUUGGACUGGGAAGUUUCCAGUUAAGAACAAGGCAGGGGAUAGGUUUUUAGCUGUUGGCACCAACACUCCAUUUUAUGAUGAGGAUGGCAGUUUGGUGGGCAUUAUUUGUGUUUCAAGUGAUUCACGCGCAUUGGAGGAGAUACUCAGUGGACCUUCAACCUCUGCAAGGUCCCAUUCAGAAUCAUCUAGCCCCUCCUGUUGUGAUGGCAGUUGCAGCAACAGUAAUCGAAAAGCCAGUUUGUUGAACAGAAAUCCGUUUGAUCCCCAGCAGUCUACUAUAGCCUCCAAGAUAACAAAUUUGGCUAACAAGGUCACAAAUAAAGUUCGUUCGAGGGUCAAGAUGGAUGAGAAUGGCAUGGUACGGGAAGGUGGCAGUGGUGAGAGUCAGUGUUCUGAUCGUGAUAACAAGGAAGGUCCAUCUAGUGGACCAAGUACACCAAGAGGAGAUGCACCACAUGGUGCCUUCGGCACGGAAGAGAAUUCCCCUGGGAAAUCAACCAAAACAAACGGUGAUGAAUCAGAAGCGAAAAUAGGUCUCCACAAGAUCUUGAGUUCAAAAGCAGAGGCAUUGUUGAACAAGAAAGGGAUAACAUGGCCUUGGAAAGGGCGGGAGAAUGAUGUGCCUGACUGCAGAAAUCAGGUGACCUGGCCAUCGUUGCAUAGUGAGCAAGAGAAUGGCCAGAAUCAUCCGAAAGUCUCUGACACUCAAUUGGCUGAAUACAACCAACCUAACAAAAACGAGGCAUCAGGUUCCUGGUCUUCUUUCAACAAUAACAGCUCAAGUAGUGCAAGCAGCACUGGAAGUACCAAUAGUAGUGCUCUAUACAAAAUCGACCAUGAAGCAGACUGUCUGGAUUAUGAAAUCCUGUGGGAAGAUCUUGUAAUUGGAGAACAAGUAGGCCAAGGCUCCUGUGGGACAGUAUACCAUGCUUUGUGGUAUGGCUCGGAUGUGGGUGUGAAAGUUUUCUCCAGGCAGGAAUAUUCGGAGGAAGUAAUACAGGCCUUUCGACAAGAGGUAUCCCUUAUGAAGAAAUUACGCCAUCCUAAUAUACUGCUCUUCAUGGGUGCGGUUACAUCUCCACACCGCCUUUGUAUUGUUACCGAGUUCCUCCCACGUGGAAGUUUAUUUCGCUUACUUCAAAGAAGCACUACCAAGUUGGAUUGGAGACGACGUGUUCACAUGGCUUUAGAUGUUGCAAGGGGCAUGAAUUAUCUUCAUCACUAUAGCCCACCUAUCAUUCAUCGAGAUUUAAAGUCGUCAAAUCUGCUGGUUGAUAAGAACUGGACUGUUAAGGUUGCAGAUUUUGGUCUUUCACGUCUCAAGCGUGAAACUUAUCUCACAACAAAAACAGGAAAAGGAACGCCACAAUGGAUGGCUCCAGAGGUAUUGCGCAAUGAACCUUCAGAUGAGAAGUCUGAUGUGUAUAGCUAUGGGGUGAUCCUAUGGGAACUUGUCACUCAGAAGAUACCGUGGGAAAAUCUCAAUUCAAUGCAGGUCAUUGGUGCAGUAGGUUUCAUGAACCAAAGGUUGGAGAUUCCCAGUGAAACAGAUCCUUACUGGACAUCACUUAUACUGAGUUGUUGGGAAACCGACCCACAAAGCCGUCCGUCGUUCCAAGAACUUCUGGAGAAGCUCAGGGAACUGCAAAGGAAGUAUGCUGUCCAGAAUCAGGCGCAGCGAAAUGCAUCUGCCGCUGCGAAGAACAGCAUCAUCGAGGAAUGA